rnacentral:rRNA from 1 species
UACGUAGGGUGCAAGCGUUAAUCGGAAUUACUGGGCGUAAAGCGUGCGCAGGCGGUUAUGUAAGACAGGUGUGAAAUCCCCCGGGCUUAACCUGGGAACUGCAUUUGUGACUGCAUAGCUAGAGUACGGUAGAGGGGGGAUGGAAUUCCGCGUGUAGCAGUGAAAUGCGUAGAUAUGCGGAGGAACACCGAUGGCGAAGGCAAUCCCCUGGACCUGUACUGACGCUCAUGCACGAA